UACGUAGGUGGCAAGCGUUGUCCGGAUUUACUGGGCGUAAAGAGCGCGCAGGCGGUCGUUCAAGUCGCGUGUGAAAGCCCCCGGCUCAACUGGGGAGGGUCACGCGAUACUGAUCGACUCGAAGGCAGGAGAGGGUAGUGGAAUUCCCGGUGUAGUGGUGAAAUGCGUAGAGAUCCGGAGGAACACCAGAGGCGAAGGCGGCAACCUGGCUCGUAACUGACGCUCAUACACGACAGCAUGGGGAGCGAACGGG
rnacentral:rRNA from 1 species